GGAGGAGACGGUGGGUCCCUCGGCAGAUUCACUCGGGCUGGUUGCUGCGUAAUCGUCUUCGGCUGUUGGUUCCUCUGCCACAGGGGACGAUGCUUUGGGUGCUGAGGCUGACGAUGAUUUGGGUGCAGCAGCCGGUGCCUUGGUCUGCGUGGUGGGUGCUUUUGUAGGGGAGGCGGUGGGAGCAGCUGAGGGUGCCUCGGCAGCGAAUGCGGUGGCCACGACCAAGGCCAAUAGAGC
rnacentral:lncRNA from 1 species